UUUAUUUGGACCACGUGUCCAGUUUGGAUUCGCCAAAGUGGCAUUAUCGGAAAGUUUUCCGAUAAAUAAGUUUUAGCAGGUCGGUUUUAGAAAAGAUAAUUUCGGAGAAAAUUUAUAUUAUAUUUCAAUUCUGAAGUUAGAAUUGGAAUAAAAAGGAAAAAUGUCAAGAAAAGUCCAAAAUGAAGUACAGGGACCAAAGUGGUAAUUUAGCCACUUUGUGUCGAAAAUAGAAAUACGGAAUUUUGACGGGAAAGUGUUAAAAUCAAGCUUUGUAUUAUUUAUAGAAUAUAAAUAAUACGUAUAAGUUAUAAUAGAAGAGUUAAUCGAUUUAGUUAUGGACUAAAUCGUACGAAAGAAAAGUUAGAAAGAUAAAUUGUAACAAGGAAGGAAAGGAAGGACUAAAACAGACGUUUAGCCAUGUAUAUAUAAGAGAAAACCUUUGAAUGAAGGAUGUAUCAGAGGUAAGAAUCCAGAAGCUUGAAGUUUUCCACCGAUCACUUCGUUUCUUCACGGUUUCUUCGUUCGACGUCCGAAUCAAGCGGUUUUCGCGUCGAUUUCUUCGAAAUUGAAAGCUCUAUCAUCUCCAAGCUUCAAAUCAAGACGUACGACCGAGCGGUGAGGGCACUAGGGGUGUACUAGCACGAGCAUAUUACCACAUCGAUCUUGUUGUAGAGUGGAUAGCGGUCACUGUGCUUAGCUUCUGGACUUAGCUAGAGGACAAUUU